CUGCCAGCCAACGCCAGGACAAGCAGCAUGUGAAGACACCGACCUGGCUGGCCUUGAACUCACCGAGGUUCACCUGAGAAAAAAGUGACUGCUUUAUGCAUUCACUUCCUCCCAGCAUUCGGCAGUUGAGAGUCACCAGCAGAGAUCUCACCCAACGGCAGGUCUUCUCUCAGCCUCAGGAGUAUGGACUGUGAUGGAGAGCAACACUCCUAACACCUACAUUUUCUGUCCCUUGUAUUAACUACGUCACACAGAAGAGGCCCACAGUUUUGAGAAACCAAAACAAAGACUGGAAGUGGAGGCCCAGACAGGGCAACAUGACUACAUCAGAGGACAACAACCAACUCCUAACCUCCUAUUUGGCCUUACCAGAGCGAUCUCAUCCAUGGAGAAAUGGAAAUUAGAGAAGGUGGGAAAACGACAAUCUUAUCACAUACAUUAACAUUUAUCCAGAGUCAACCCCACCUGGCCUAGGAGUCUCAUUAUCUUUCAUCUUACAAAAGAUAAAAAAGACGACAGUUCAUUCAAGUUCUGAACAAACUGGUCACCUGCCUCUCUCUGUGGGUGGUGCAACCUCCACUCCCAAGUCAGUUUUGUUGCCUUAAAUUCUUUCCAACUUCCCCUAUGUUUACAAGGGGAGUAUACAAGACUGUAUUUCCAACACAUCAGGGCUGGGGCCAGACCUAAGGUCCUUCCAAACCCACACCACCUCAUAAUGAUACAAAACAAGCGAGGCAUGGCCUGACCCAUUGCUACAACCUCAGCACUUAGGACAAGGACGGCCUGGGUUAUAUGCAUUCAGUUUAGGGGGAGGGGGAAAGCUAGAUUGUGACUCAAAAUAAAAAAGGUAUUUGGACUAUGGAUCUCUAUCCAGACCAAAGGAGCAUAGAAAACUUAGCAAGGUUUAGAAAAGGAGACCGAAAGAGAGUCACUAAACCAUCCAAUAAAACUAACAGUAUGAGAGCCAAUUAAUAACCACUUCACAGCUGCCCACCCAAAAGAAGCAUGCCAGAAAAACCACAGCCAGGUGGCUGGUGUUCUCUCCUUCUUCCCUGGCACCAGAAAGAGCAGCUAGAGCACCCAACUUGAGAGCAGUCCUUCAUCAGCCACUUCUGACGGCGAGGAAAGAAAGGCUCAUGCUACAGUGAAGACUGCUUUUAAUAGGAGUUGACUGUUGGUACCUAAAACUUCAGAAAGAAAAACCAGACAAGAAGGGGAACUACCAGGCCUGCAGAAGCGACUCGGUGACUAAGAGCACCGGGUUCAAUCCCCAGCAUCCUCAGGGUUUGAGAGAAGAAGUGAAUCAAGGGAAGUACACCUUCCAUCCAAAUGAACAUGUUCCAGUCUAGGCGACUAUUCACUCAUCCAGCAACUCACUUCUCCUAGACAGGGAUCAUCUUUUUACAUUAAACAACUCUUCAAGGCUGGAGAUGUAGCACUAACCACAGAAACCUGAGGGUUCAAGCUCCAGCAAGGCAUAACAUAGGAUGAGGAGGGAUCGUGACAUGCCUGCAAUCCCAGCACCCGGGGAAGGCUGGAGAGGAGGAGCUGUAGUUCAAAUUAUCUUAAGCUACAGAGUUGAGGCCAGCCUGGUCCACAUUAACACCGUUUCAACACCAGCAAAAAAAUGCAGCUCCUAAACACACAAACUCUUCAGUGUGGCCUUUCCUGUGAACCAUUUUAAAAAAAUGAGACUCCUGAACCUUUCUACAAAAAGUCUCUAAUUGUUUUCUUCCACCAUACCAUUGCCACACAAGAUGGCAGGUGUCUUUGCUUACCCUUACUUACUUAUGUGUGUGCCUAGACAGCCUGUGUGUAUGAUCCAGUGUCCUGUCUGUCAUCUAGCGCCCUUAGCUAUCUUCAGCCUGCUCAGUCUCAAAUUUCCAGCAGCAAAGCUUAGAAACCAGAAGAAUUGCUGGGCAG